GAUGAACGCUGGCGGCGUGCCUAAUACAUGCAAGUCGAGCGAACAGACGAGGAGCUUGCUCCUCUGACGUUAGCGGCGGACGGGUGAGUAACACGUGGAUAACCUACCUAUAAGACUGGGAUAACUUCGGGAAACCGGAGCUAAUACCGGAGAAUAUAUUGAACCGCAUGGUUCAAUAGUGAAAGACGGUUUUGCUGUCACGUAUAGAUGGAUCCGCGCCGCAUUAGCUAGUUGGUAAGGUAACGGCUUACCAAGGCAACGAUGCGUAGCCGACCUGAGAGGGUGAUCGGCCACACUGGAGCUGGGACACGGUCCAGACUCCUACGGGAGGCAGCAGUAGGCAAUCUUCCGCAAUGGGCGAAAGCCUGACGGAGCAACGCCGCGUGAGUGAUGAAGGUCUUCGGAUCGUAAAACUCUGUUAUUAGGGAAGAACAAAUGUGUAAGUAACUAUGCACGUCUUGACGGUACCUAAUCAGAAAGCCACGGCUAACUACGUG
rnacentral:rRNA from 1 species